rnacentral:rRNA from 1 species
UACGGAGGGUGCGAGCGUUGUCCGGAAUCACUGGGCGUAAAGGGCGCGUAGGCGGCCGGAUAAGUAGGAGGUGAAAUCUUGCGGCUCAGCUGCAAGGCUGCCUUCUAAACUGUCUGGCUGGAGCACGGUAGAGGCAGAUGGAAUUCCCGGUGUAGCGGUGGAAUGCGUAGAGAUCGGGAAGAACAUCGGUGGCGAAGGUGGUCUGCUGGGCCGUUGCUGACGCUGAGGCGCGACAGCGUGGGGAGCAAACAGG